rnacentral:rRNA from 1 species
AGAGUUUGAUCAUGGCUCAGAUUGAACGCUGGCGGCACGCCUAACACAUGCAAGUCGAACGGCAUCAGGCGAGUAUCGAAAGGUACUUGUGCUGGCGAGUGGCGGACGGGUGAGUAAAGCGUAGGGAUCUGCCCUUAAGACUGGGAUAACCCGGGGAAACUCGGGCUAAUACUGGAUGACCUCUGAGGAGGAAAGGCUGC